CGUAUGCACUUAAAUUAUAUGUUAUCUAUCUACCUUCUUUAUUAUAAUGUGUUAUCUCGAUGACAUUUAUCUCUUAACUGUAAUAUCUAAUCAGAAUAUUGUAAUACAUUGUUUUCUAAGCUUUAUAUCUCUCGCGUGCUUGCUGCAAUGCGUGUACCUGCCUAAAAUCGAAUAGUAUAUUUUUUAAAAUGUAUUUAGUAAUUUUAAGUGCGUGUUUGUUAGUGGUUAGUGGACAGGGGACUUAUGAGUUAAAUAUAUUACAUUACAAUGACUUCCAUGCAAGAUUUUUAGAAACAAGUCCGUGGGGGACUGUCUGUAACCCCGAAGCAGCUCCAUGUAUCGGAGGUUUCGCCCGCCUCACAACGGCGGUGCGCGAUGGCUUGGAAAGGGAACCUCAUUCCUUGGUCCUGAACGCUGGUGACAGCUUUCAAGGUACUAUUUGGUACAAUAUAUUGAGAUGGAAUGUAACUCAAGAUUUUAUGAAUAUGUUCCAUCAUGACGCGCAUGUACUAGGUAACCAUGAAUUUGACAAUGGAAUUGAAGGAGUAGUGCCCUACUUGCAACAUUUGGAAGCACCGAUGGUUACCGCGAAUAUUAUAGAUGACGAUGAGCCUACAAUACAGGGUUUGUACCAGCCCAGUAUCAUAGUGGAAAAGAAUGGAAGAAGAAUUGGGAUCAUUGGCGUCAUAAUAGCUUCUACUAAUAUUCUUGCGUCAACUGGAAGGCUGCGUUUUACAGACGAAGUCGAGGUAGUGAGACAAGAGGCUGAGAAACUGCACGAACAAGGCAUUGACAUUAUCGUGGUGCUGUCGCAUUGUGGCAUAGAAAUUGACAGAGCAAUAGCAUUCCAUGGUGGUCCAUAUAUAGACAUAAUUGUUGGUGGCCACAGUCACACGUUAUUGUACAACGAAGAUCCUCCGGAAAAUAGCGCCUUCGUCCCCCAGGGACCUUAUCCUGUGGUGGUCGAACAGGAGACAAGACAGGUGUUGAUAGUACAAGCAGCGGCCCACACUCAGUAUUUGGGUGAAAUCAAGUUGUUCUUUGACGACGCUGGGAAUCUUCUCGAUUGGGAAGGCAAUCCACACUACCUGGGAAAUGAAGUAGCGCAAGCACCGGAUGUUUUGGAGAAAAUCGCCUAUUAUCUCCCCCAAGUAGAUGACUUGGCACGACAAGAAGUGGGGUCAUCCAUGGUCCACCUUGAUUCCAGCUGUGCUUGCGGCGAAUGCAAUCUGGGCAGUUUCAUCUGUGACGCCUUUAUGCAUGCUGCCUUGCCAUUAGCCAAAGAAGGUAACUGGAACUACGCACAUUUCUGCGUCAUCAACCAAGGCGGCAUACGUGUAGACAUUGAGCCAGGAAGAAUAACAUUCGAAGCCAUGCUUCUAUCGACUCCAUUUGAGAACAACGUGGAAGUUUUCCAGUUAAGAGGCGACCAUAUUAUGGAAAUGCUGGAGUUUUCAGUCGCCAAUGAUCCUUAUAACGGAGCGAGAAUGCUUCAGGUUUCAGGGCUCCAUGCAGUCUUCGACGGUUCCAAGCCAGUUGGCAGCAGGGUUAUCACAGCAACCGUUCGUUGCAUAGACUGCAGCGUCCCAAUCUACGAGCCUUUAAGAUUAGACAAGAAUUACACAAUAAUCUCUCAAAGCUUCCUCGGUGACGGAGGCGACGGAUUCUCUGCAUUCAAACAGUGUUUGACGGGUCCCGGCCCAAGGGCAGCCGACUUGUCAGCGCGUCCGUCCGCUGUGUAGAUUGUGCCGUCCCUAGAUAUGAGCCUCUAGUCCCGGGAAACUAUUACAGGGUUAUCACCCCCGACUUUAUAGGAGCAGGUGGAGGGAAUUUCACAAUGAUUUCUGAGAACCGCUUUGACGUUGAAGUGAUAGGAGUGGACUACGAUGUGUUACAAGAUUACAUAAGGCACCAGUCGCCAAUUUUCAAGGAUGUCGACGGUCGCGUAGAAAUAUCCAACCCGUGCAGUGACUAAAUAUAAAAAUAUUACAUAAUAAGUACAUAAACUGUGUUUUAUAUACCAGAAUAUUAUAUGACAUUUUAGUUGGCCAA